GUCUAUGGCCAUGCCACCCUGCACGUGCCUGAUCUCAUCAGAUCUUGGAAGCUAAGCAGGGUCAGGCUUGGUUAGUACUUGCAUGGGAGACCACCUAGGAAUACCACCUAGGAAAUGCUGUAGGCA
ensembl:rRNA 5S_rRNA 5S ribosomal RNA